UGGUUCGGAGUGUUUAUUAAAACAUGGAGGUCUGGUGGUUCAGAGUGUUUAUUAAAACAUGGAGGUCUGGUGGUUCAGAGUGUUUAUUAAAACAUGGAGGUCUGGUGGUUCGGAGUGUUUAUUAAAACAUGGAGGUCUGGUGGUUCAGAGUGUUUAUUAAAACAUGGAGGUCUGGUGGUUCAGAGUGUUUAUUAAAACAUGGAGGUCUGGUGGUUCAGAGUGUUUAUUAAAACAUGGAGGUCUGGUGGUUCAGAGUGUUUAUUAAAACAUGGAGGUCUGGUGGUUCAGAGUGUUUAUUAAAACAUGGAGGUCUGGUGGUUCAGAGUGUUUAUUAAAACAUGGAGGUCUGGUGGUUCAGAGUGUUUAUUAAAACAUGGAGGUCUGGUGGUUCAGAGUGUUUAUUAAAACAUGGAGGUCUGGUGGUUCAGAGUGUUUAUUAAAACAUGGAGGUCUGGUGGUUCGGAGGGUUUAUUAAAACAUGGAGGUCUGGUGGUUCGGAGUGUUUAUUAAAACAUGGAGGUCUGGUGGUUCGGAGUGUUUAUUAAAACAUGGAGGUCUGGUGGUUCAGAGUGUUUAUUAAAACAUGGAGGUCUGGUGGUUCAGAGUGUUUAUUAAAACAUGGAGGUCUGGUGGUUCGGAGGGUUUAUUAAAACAUGGAGGUCUGGUGGUUCGGAGUGUUUAUUAAAACAUGGAGGUCUGGUGGUUCGGAGUGUUUAUUAAAACAUGGAGGUCUGGUGGUUCAGAGUGUUUAUUAAAACAUGGAGGUCUGGUGGUUGAACAGAGACGUGGGGCUGCUCCAGACCGCAAGAUCAAUCAGUUAGCCGACUAACAAAUAUUCUAAAUAAUGUCAGAGACUUGAAACUGGCAUCAUGGCAAUAACGUCAAGGUAUAACUGGCAUCAUGGCAAUAACGUCAAGGUAUAACUGGCAUCAUGGCAAUAACGUCAAGGAUAACCUAGCAUCAUGGCAAUAACGUCAAGGAUAACCUAGCAUCAUAGCAAUAACGUCAAGGAUAACCUAGCAUCAUAGCAAUAACGUCAAGGAUAACCUAGCAUCAUGGCAAUAACGUCAAGGUAUAGCUGGCAUCAUGGCAAUAACGUCAAGGAUAACCUAGCAUCAUGGCAAUAACGUCAAGGAUAACCUAGCAUCAUGGCAAUAACGUCAAGGAUAACCUAGCAUCAUGGCAAUAACGUCAAGGAUAACCUAGCAUCAUGGCAAUAACGUCAAGGAUAACCUAGCAUCAUGGCAAUAACGUCAAGGAUAACCUAGCAUCAUAGCAAUAACGUCAAGGAUAACCUAGCAUCAUAGCAAUAACGUCAAGGAUAACCUAGCAUCAUGGCAAUAACGUCAAGGAUAACCUAGCAUCAUGGCAAUAACGUCAAGGAUAACCUAGCAUCAUGGCAAUAACGUCAAGGAUAACCUAGCAUCAUGGCAAUAACGUCAAGGAUAACCUAGCAUCAUGGCAAUAACGUCAAGGAUAACCUAGGAUCAUAGCAAUAACGUCAAGGAUAACCUAGCAUCAUGGCAAUAACGUCAAGGAUAACCUAGCAUCAUAGCAAUAACGUCAAGGAUAACCUAGCAUCAUGGCAAUAACGUCAAGGAUAACCUAGCAUCAUGGCAAUAACGUCAAGGAUAACCUAGCAUCAUGGCAAUAACGUCAAGGAUAACCUAGCAUCAUGGCAAUAACGUCAAGGAUAACCUAGCAUCAUAGCAAUAACGUCAAGGAUAACCUAGCAUCAUAGCAAUAACGUCAAGGAUAACCUAGCAUCAUGGCAAUAACGUCAAGGAUAACCUAGCAUCAUGGCAAUAACGUCAAGGAUAACCUAGCAUCAUGGCAAUAACGUCAAGGAUAACCUAGCAUCAUGGCAAUAACGUCAAGGUAUAACUGGCAUCAUGGCAAUAACGUCAAGGAUAACCUAGCAUCAUGGCAAUAACGUCAAGGAUAACCUAGCAUCAUAGCAAUAACGUCAAGGAUAACCUAGCAUCAUGGCAAUAACGUCAAGGAUCACCUAGCAUCAUGGCAAUAACGUCAAGGAUAACCUAGAAUCAUGGCAAUAACGUCAAGGUAUAACUGGCAUCAUGGCAAUAACGUCAAGGAUAACCUAGCAUCAUGGCAAUAACGUCAAGGAUAACCUAGCAUCAUGGCAAUAACGGCAAGGAUAACCUAGCAUCAUAGCAAUAACGUCAAGGAUAACCUAGCAUCAUAGCAAUAACGUCAAGGAUAACCUAGCAUCAUGGCAAUAACGUCAAGGAUAACCUAGCAUCAUGGCAAUAACGUCAAGGAUAACCUAGCAUCAUGGCAAUAACGUCAAGGAUAACCUAGCAUCAUGGCAAUAACGUCAAGGUAUAACUGGCAUCAUGGCAAUAGCGUCAAGGAUAACCUAGCAUCAUGGCAAUAACGUCAAGGAUAACCUAGCAUCAUAGCAAUAACGUCAAGGAUAACCUAGCAUCAUGGCAAUAACGUCAAGGAUCACCUAGCAUCAUGGCAAUAACGUCAAGGAUAACCUAGCAUCAUGGCAAUAACGUCAAGGUAUAACUGGCAUCAUGGCAAUAACGUCAAGGAUAACCUAGCAUCAUGGCAAUAACGUCAAGGAUAACCUAGCAUCAUGGCAAUAACGGCAAGGAUAACCUAGCAUCAUGGCAAUAACGUCAAGGAUAACCUAGCAUCAUAGCAAUAACGUCAAGGAUAACCUAGCAUCAUGGCAAUAACGUCAAGGAUAACCUAGCAUCAUGGCAAUAACGUCAAGGAUAACCUAGCAUCAUGGCAAUAACGUCAAGGAUAACCUAGCAUCAUGGCAAUAACGUCAAGGAUAACCUAGCAUCAUGGCAAUAACGUCAAGGAUAACCUAGCAUCAUGGCAAUAACGGCAAGGAUAACCUAGCAUCAUGGCAAUAACGUCAAGGAUAACCUCGCAUCAUGGCAAUAACGUCAAUGUAUAAUUGGCAUCAUGGUAUAACUGACUUGACAACCAUAUUAAAGUUCAGCUUGAUAAAUAUAUCAGUAAAUCAAGAACCAUAUUUUACUCCUAAUAAGAGUUCUGGCUUAACUUACUGAUCCUGCUUUUGCAACAGCUCAGUGUUCUGAUGUUCAACUCUACUGCAAAAACAUUCUCCUCUGUAAACAAUACAAAACAUAAUUAAUUCUUAAUUCUAAAUAAAAACCUUUAAAACCAAGCAUGUCCUUCAUAAGGCACAGUUCUCAAAGGAUUUAGUAACAGUGUGUUCCUCAGCAGCACCUCGCUAGGUCCUUUAGUAACAGUGUGGUCCUCAGCAACACCUCGCUAGGCCCUUUAGUAACAGUGUGGUCCUCAGCAACACCUCGCUAGGCCCUUUAGUAACAGUGUGUUCCUCAGCAACACCUCGCUAGGUCCUUUAGUAACAGUGUGUUCCUCAGCAGCACCUCGCUAGGUCCUUUAGUAACAGUGUGUUCCUCAGCAACACCUCACUAGGUCCUUUAGUAACAGUGAGGUCCUCAGCAACACCUCGCUAGGUCCUUUAGUAACAGUGUGUUCCUCAUCAGCACCUCGCUAGGUCCUUUAGUAACACUGUGUUCCUCAGCAACACCUCACUAGGUCCUUUAGUAACAGUGAGGUCCUCAGCAACACCUCGCUAGGUCCUUUAGUAACAGUGUGUUCCUCAGCAACACCUCGCUAGGCCCUUUAGUAACAGUGUGUUCCUCAGCAACACCUCGCUAGGUCCUUUAGUAACAGUGUGGUCCUCAGCAACACCUCGCUAGGCCCUUUAGUAACAGUGUGUUCCUCAGCAACACCUCGCUAGGUCCUUUAGUAACAGUGUGGUCCUCAGCAACACCUCGCUAGGCCCUUUAGUAACAGUGUGUUCCUCAGCAACACCUCGCUAGGCCCUUUAGUAACACUGUGUUCCUCAGCAACACCUCGCUAGGUCCUUUAGUAACAGUGUGUUCCUCAGCAACACCUCGCUAGGCCCUUUAGUAACACUGUGUUCCUCAGCAACACCUCGCUAGGCCCUUUAGUAACAGUGUGUUCCUCAGCAACACCUCGCUAGGUCCUUUAGUAACAGUGUGUUCCUCAGCAACACCUCGC